rnacentral:lncRNA from 7 species
GCUCCUCGCUGGACCAGAACCAACCGCAAAAUGAGGCAGGCAGGUUCAGCGCUGACCCACUGCCCCUGCCCCACCCCAGGGCCUCUGUGAGGUCAUCACAUCAUUGUGACAUCACCCGCACAGGAGGGUCCUGGAAGAUCAUAGAACUGCAGGACGGCGUGGCUUGGGAGGUUCCUUAGUGAUCACAGAACCAUAGAAUGGUUUGUGUUGCAAGAGUCCUGGAAGAUGAUAGAACCACAGGAUGGUGUGGGUUGGAAGGGUCCUGGAAGAUCAUAGAAUCACAGAAUGGUUCUUUGAAACAGCUGUGAAGGAUCUGUGAGCAAAUCCGCCGUCAGUAGUUGGUGCCGCGGGAAGGCCUGAGGUCCGACCUUUCCUCCAACGGCUUCAGUGUAACUUUGGAAAGACAGUGCUCACACCUGGUUUGUUCUAUCUGCCAGGACGUCACUCAGCUGCGUUGCGACGGCGACGGCGACGGCGCGCCCUCAUUCAUGGCACGGCGUACAGCCGUCCGCGUGACGACGGCGCACGCGUGGCUGUGUAUCCAUAACAGCCGCGCUUCAGCGCGGCUGUCCCCUUUGGAUGCUCUCAUGGCGCGUCGUCCCACGCUGUGACGUCAUCGCCUUGCGCCCGGGUGAGGCGGCGGCCUCGAGGUUGUCCUGCUGUGCUCCGCAGUGCUCCAACGCCGCGGGGCGGCUCCGGGCGCCGCCUCAGCUUCUACAGGAGAGACGUUGUGGGUGAGACAGAGGGAACAUCAAAUGAGAAACUGGGAAGAGAUAUGAAGUAGCGGGACCAGUUUUUCUAAGUGAGUAUUCUAAUCAUGAGACCAAGUAUUGGGUGUUUGUGGGAACUGGAGGGUGUUUGAUUCGUGGGUUUUGAAGGGACCCCCAUGAGCAGAACUUGGAAUGAGAAAGGGAGCCAGGGCCGGAGACUGCUGCUGUAAACAGUGCUAUUUGUGAAGGGGGGGUGGAGAGGACGGGGCACUGGAAAUGAGAAUAGCCUUCAUCUGCAGAGAUCUAGGAAACCCGAAAUCCCAGUGCUAGAUGAUGCUGAAAUAUGAUGUUAGUAGUUCAUGUAACGAUGAGAGUUUGGAAAGUGAAAAAGGUUUGGGAAAGACAAGGCUGAGGAAGGCAGAGAUGAGCAAGGUGUAACAGGGAUGUCAGGAUUGAAGAGAGAUGAGUGGUAUGGAAGAACUGCCUGAGGAACAGAGAUAGGGAGGAGAUUGGGAAGAACAACAGCAGCUGCUACUGUUGCUGCAAUAGAGCAGGGCCAUAGGACCAGAGGUCCCUUCAGGAAGAGGUGGGGGGGAGGGCUCUGCCCCACAAACUGCGGGGAAAUGGGACACUGGUGGAGAAAUCCUAUCAAGCUGAGUGAGAGGGAACGAGGGAACCAUCUCUGAUCACAGAAGCUGGAUGAUGGGAACCUGGGAAGUUUACCGUAGCAGAUCCACUGUUUAAACUACAGCUAGGGGAGAAGGAUAAAGAGGUUUAUUUUCUGGUGGGUACGGGUGCCUCUUACCACCCGUAGAUGGUUUUUGUAACAGUAGUAGGAGCUACUGCCCAACAAGAAAAAGCUUACCUUUUGGGAUCAAUUAAAUAUAGGCUGAGAAAAUAAGUAGGAAUACAUAAAUCCUUGUACAUGCCAGGUUCUCCAAAACCGUUACCCUGGCAAGACUUAUUAGAACAAAUGGAUGCAGAGAUUAAAUUCAAUAAAACUGGAGCUAAGGGUCAAACAAGAUUAACUGAUGGCAAAUUGUAAGUCUGGCUUUAAUACAAACUGAGAAAAACAAUGUUGUACCCCCAGAAGUUACAGAAAUCUUAAAUAAAGUAUGCUUAGGAGUGUGGGUACCAGGGAUGGCUGGUAGAGACAAACUGCAGCCCUAAGUUAAAAGCAAGAGCUAGUGCUAGCUCAGUCAGGGUAAAGCAGUGCCCUUUGAGGAUAUGCAACUGUAGAAGGAUAAAAGAAAAACUAGGUAACUUUUGGAUUUUGGAUUACUAAUUGAAUGUGAAUCCAAAUACAGUACUCCAAUCUUGCUGAUGAAAAAUUGGAGAGCAAGUGCUAUAGUUUAGUACAAGAUUUGAGGGCAAGGAAUAGAAUUGUUGAAUGUAUACAGUCUGUAGUGGCAAAUCCAUACACUUUAUUAACUAAGUUAGGGAAGGAGUAGGUGGAGUUUACCUUCUGGAUUUGAAGGAUGCCUUUUCUGCCUGGUUUGGCCAAAGGAAGCCUAAGGUUAUUUGCCUUUGAAUAGGAGACCCCCAGAAUGGGGAGAAAAGCGUCAGUUAACCUGGACAGUGUUACGCAGGGUUGUGAGAACAGCCCAAUGAUUUGUGAGAGCCAGUCGGCUUGUGAGCCCAAGACAUGGGUUCCUCCAUCCCA